AAAGGAAUUGACGGGGGCCCGCACAAGCGGUGGAGCAUGUGGUUUAAUUCGAUGAUACGCGAGGAACCUUACCUGGGCUUAAAUGCAGAACGACAGACUCGGAAACGAGUCCUUCUUCGGACGGUCUGCAAGGUGCUGCAUGGUUGUCGUCAGCUCGUGCCGUGAGGUGUCGGGUUAAGUCCCAUAACGAGCGCAACCCCUAUCACUAGUUGCCAGCGAGUAAUGUCGGGGACUCUAGUGAAACUGCCCGUGCAAGCGGUGAGGAAGGUGGGGAUGACGUCAAAUCAUCACGGCCCUUACGUCCAGGGCUACACACGUGCUACAAUGGCGAGUACAAAGGGCAGCCACCCCGUGAGGGGGAGCUAAUCUCUAAAGCUCGUCUCAGUUCGGAUUGAAGUCUGCAACUCGACUUCAUGAAGCUGGAAUCGCUAGUAAUCGCGCAUCAGCCAUGGCGCGGUGAAUACGUUCCCGGGCCUUGUACACACCGCCCGU
rnacentral:rRNA from 1 species